rnacentral:lncRNA from 1 species
UGGCUACACCUGUGGCAUAUGUAGGUUCCCAGGCCUGGGACUGAAUUUGAGCUUCAACUGAGCCCUGUGCUACAGCUGUGGCAACAUGGGAUACUUCAGCCCAAUGCACUGGGCUGGGGUUCAAACCUACACCUCUGCAGAGGCCCAAGCCACUGCAGUCAGAUUUUUAACCUACUGUUCCACAGUGAGAACUCCUGUAUCACUGCUUUUUAACACCCAAUCCUCCAUAGCAACCAUGAAAAUCACUAAUUGAAAACUCCACAAAUCCUUCAGUUGGGAUAUUAGAAGUUUUAUUUCUGAGCAAUGUUAAAUAGCCAGAAUAAAAUAUAAAAACAGUAUAUGAAUUAUAUACAUUCCUAUACAUCCAUCAGUGAGUGUGUUUAUAUAUGUGAUUGUGAAUAUAUAUGUGUGUGUGUGUGUGUAGUGAUAUGUGAGUGUGUGUAUAAAAUAUUCCAGGGUCCAGCUGUCAAUUUGGAAUAAUUUGUUCUCUACAAGAGAAGAAUUAAAAAAAAAACCUUCACAUCUUUGUAAGAGCUUCACUGUGCUGCACUGGAUAAAGUGGACAUAUUUCAGACAUUGUUAUUCAGUGAACACAACAUUAUGCUACAUACUAAUUGAGGAUGUAUUUGUAAAUAAACAGUGCAGGUGAACAAGGACAGUCAGGUCUGUAAUUACACCUGUGUAUAUUUAUAUGCCCACCAGUUCUGUUGUCUUGAAACAGACAUAAGGCAAGGCCCUUCUAGGUUAAUUGCUGUUGCUAAGGAAAAGGCCCAGGUUUGCCUUUACAGUCACUCUUUUCCUCCAGGUGCAACAAUAAGACUGGCCUCUCAGUGCCAACUUCUGUCUAAAGAUAAAUAUGUAAUAAAGUCUCCUUGGAAUUUUCUAAAAAUACCUGUUAUUCACUCUUGAAUUUUUUCAAUAUCCUCAAAUGAAGAGAGUUUGAUGUUUCUAACAGCAAGCAGGUCGUAUCAGGGAAAAAAAUAUUACCUGGAUCUUGGUUUCUUAACCCAGGAGGCUUGGCACCAUGUUACCCAUCUUAUGGAAGAAUCUGAGUAAUGAAUAACCAAUGGCAGAUUCCCUGGGAAAGCCACAGAGUUAGUUUUAGAAGCGUCCCACAGUUGAGUAGCCCAGCUACCGCUGGUCCAAUAUCCACAUUUCAGUCACAGCUAUGUUACCAGAGUGCAAAUGUGAUCAAGACACUCUCUCCAACUUUGCACUUAAGUUCAAUAACUUUUCAGAACCAGGGAUGACCUGCUUAAUUCAAACUCUCAACCAUCUCUGCAGCAAAUAUCAGUUUUAGAGCUAUACCACGUGUCAGCUUGACAGGUCUGGCAAUCUUGCCUUCUAAUCUCUAUACCUGCUUCUUCACCAUUUCUCUGUAGUUAGCUUGAAAUUUAUACAUAAAUGAACUUCCACUGGAAGCCUUCUCUGAACUCUCAAUUAUGAUUUAGUACUUCUCAUAAGUGCUUUGGCAGCAUUCAAAACUUCUCUUAUUAGAACAGUUAUCAUACAAUUUUAUAGUUUUUGUCUUUAUCUUCCUUUGUUAUUAUAAAUGCCCAGAAGGGAAAGACAAAUCUGUUUCAUUCAUCUGUAUAUCAAGAUAUUAAGCAUGCAGUAAAUAUAUACAGUGAAUCAGCUUAAACUAUAAUGCAUAUAACUACUUUGGAAAAAGAGUAAGUUCAAUAGCUCAAAUUGUCAGCAGGNNNNNNNNNNNNNNNNNNNNNNCUAAAAAAGAAAGAAAAUUACUCAACCAGUUAAGAAGGUUAGGACUUUGCCCUGGACACCUUUGGGGACAAGGGGUUUGUGAGCUGGCUUGGAAAUUUAAAAAGAUUUCAAUAAAGAUAUGCAUAUGAUAAUCUCUACAGAAAGUUAAAUUAUGACUUUGGAAACUUGCUUCUAAAUCAUGGAUUCACAAGUAUGUUCAAGAGUUAAUAUGAUAAAUUGUUGAUUUGAGACUGUUCUUUUUUGAGGAACUCUGUAUUGCUAUGAACUUCCCUCUAAGAAUUGAUUUUGUGGCAUCCCGUAGAUUUUGAAUGGUUGUGUCUUCAUUAUCAUUUGUCUCUGAGGUAUUUUUUAAUUUCCCUUUUGAUUUCCUCAUUGACCCAUUGGUUUUUUAGUAGUAUGUUGUUUAGUAUCCAUGUAGUCAGUUUUUUUUUUUUUUUCCUCAUUUC